rnacentral:lncRNA from 1 species
UAGAAGUCAGGUCGGAUUAAGCCAUAGUACGGAAAAAACUAUGCUACCUGUGAGCCCCGUCCAAGGACGUUAAAAGAAGUCAGGCCACUACAAGUGCCAUAGCUUGAGCCAACUAUGGCAGCCUGUAGCUCCACCUGGGAAGGUGUAAAAAAUCUGGGAGGCCACAAACCAUGGAAGCUGUACGCAUG